rnacentral:tRNA from 1 species
GCCUGGCUGGCUCAGUUGAAAGAGCAUGUGACUCUUAAUCUUGAGGUCGUGGGUUCAAGCCCCAUGUUGGGUG